rnacentral:tRNA from 1 species
AAAAAUUUAGUUAAAAAAUAACAUUAGUUUGUCAAACUAAAAUUAUUUUAUAUUUAGAAAUAAUUUUUU